rnacentral:rRNA from 1 species
UACGGGGGGGGCAAGCGUUGUUCGGAAUUACUGGGCGUAAAGGGCUCGUAGGCGGCCAACUAAGUCGGAUGUGAAAUCCCCAGGCUUAACCUGGGAACUGCAUCCGAUACUGGAUGGCUUGAAUUCGGGAGAGGGAUGUGGAAUUCCAGGUGUAGCGGUGAAAUGCGUAGAUAUCUGGAGGAAUACCGGUGGCGAAGGCGGCAUCCUGGACCGACAUUGACGCUGAGGAGCGAAAGCUAGGGGAGCAAACGGG